rnacentral:rRNA from 1 species
CCUAUGAAAUCGAGUGGCAAACGGGUGAGUAACGCGUAAACAACCUGCCCUUCGGAUGGGGAUAACAGCUGGAAACGGCUGCUAAUACCGAAUACGAUCUUUUCGUCGCAUGACGGAAAGAAGAAAGGAUGGCCUCUAUACAAAGCUAUCGCCGAAGGAGGGGUUUGCGUCUGAUUAGCUGGUUGGAGGGGUAACGGCCCAACAAGGCGAUGAUCAGUAGCCGGUCUGAGAGGAUGAACGGCCACAUUGGGACUGAGACACGGCCCAGACUCCUACGGGAGGCAGCAGUGGGGAAUCUUCCGCAAUGGACGAAAGUCUGACGGAGCAACGCCGCGUGAGUGAAGAAGGUCUUCGGAUUGUAAAGCUCUGUUAUACGGGACGAAAAAGACGGAUGCCAACAGUAUCCGUCCGUGACGGU